rnacentral:rRNA from 1 species
CUACGGGUUGCUGCAGUGAGGAAUAUUGCACAAUGGGGGGAACCCUGAUGCAGCAACGCCGCGUGGAGGAUGACGCAUUUCGGUGUGUAAACUCCUUUUAUAUGUCAAGAAAAUGACGGUAGCAUAUGAAUAAGCACCGGCUAACUCCGUGCCAGCAGCCGCGGUAAUACGGAGGGUGCAAGCGUUACUCGGAAUCACUGGGCGUAAAGGAAGCGUAGGCGGGUUGGAAAGUCAGGUGUGAAAUCCUACAGCUUAACUGUAGAACUGCACUUGAAACUUCUAAUCUAGAGUAUGGGAGGGGGAGAUGGAAUUAGUGGUGUAGGGGUAAAAUCCGUAGAUAUCACUAGGAAUACCAAAAGCGAAGGCGAUCUCCUGGAACAUUACUGACGCUAAGGCGUGAAAGCGUGGGGAGCAAACAGGAUUAGAUACCCUUGUAGUC